AACGGAGAAAGUCAACCAAGUGAACGGGAAUAUCAGCUAAUGGAAUGACACAAGAAGCAGUGAGAAAAUUCGACCAAUUGAACGGGUAUAUCGGUUCCACUAAGGCGGCCAACCGUCCCAAAUUCAGCGGGACGGUCCCGUAAUGGAAAAUACUACUCCUGAUAAUUAAUAAAUAUUUCACGAAAUUUAACCGAUGCGCCCUGCGAGUCCCGCUUUUGGAGUAGUGUUGCCCAAAUUCACGUAAACGAGGCAAUGCCAACGGGCAAAGUGAAGCAAAGCGUUAAUGGUGACUGACGACUGAC